rnacentral:lncRNA from 1 species
AGGGCGCGCAGGCGGCGCGGGUGCGCGGUGCGGCGCUGGUAUCCAGAGGACGCGGUCACCGCCUCUGGCAUUUGUCGUUCUGCGCUUCUCCGCAAGGACCCUCUGUUAGGCAGGCGCCCACCGUAAGCCUCCCGGGCCUUGUGAACCUGCAAACCCAAGUCUGAGAGACGAUCCGCCUUCAGCGCUUUCCAGCUUGGCAGAGAGGCUUUCCCGGCGGGGAUCUUUGGUUGGCGCUGGCGAUGCGCGGGGAAGAAAGGCGAGGAGCGGCGUCCAGGCUGGGUGAUGUCCCAGCACGAGUAGGCGGGAUGCGCUCGCUUGGUCCUCCGGGCGCCCGGUCCCUGCCCGCGUCGCGCGCCCACCCCUGGGGACGAGAAGGCGGCCGCCUGAGGACCCCCGCCCGCGACCUCCGCGAGUCUGGAGCGCAGAGGACAGGGUCUGGCUGCUCUUUGGCCUUGGAUGGAAAGUGGGGAAUUGGGUGGGGGGCUGCGGACCCCUUAACGUGGAUUACUUGGUGUGUAUCAGCUGGGCUCAGAAGACCCACGACCUCUUCUCCAUCCGUGGAUUGAUUUGUUCUGCUUAACAGCUGGGUCGCCAAGCUGGAGGUGGAAUCAGAGGUUUCUGGCUGACUCGGUGGGUGCUUUGAACCAGGAAAGGACAAGAAAGAGGUGCCACCUCCUGAGUCCUGGUUCCUGCGGCUCCGUCGAAUCUGCAGUGAAGGCCUUUGGGAAGCGUGGGUUAUGUGGGUCCAGGGGUCCCAUCCUCCCGUGGAGGCCCUUGACCUGAGGAUCACUAACUCACACCCCACCGACUUCCGGCCCCCAACAAGGGCAGUGUUCCUCUUGCUCCAUUCUGCUCUGAAGUCCCCCAAACCGCUUCCUGGGGCUGCUUAGUGAAAUACAAGGCUCAUCUCUGAGGACCUCUACAGGGCUGGAUGGGAAGGACUGAUCCACAUUCCCACCAGGAAGUUUAGCAGAACCCCCGCGUGCCACCUGGACCCCUUGGAAGGACCUGGCUCAGGCUGGACCACCUCUUGAGAGGCAGGAGCUCUGGAUUUGAUCAAGAAUUCUUUGCUGAGCAUGGUGCCUCAUGCCUAUAAUCCCAACACUUUGGGAGGCCAGUGUGGGAGGAUCUCUUGAGCCCAGGAGUUCAAGACUAGCCUGGGCAACACAGAGAGACCCCAUCUCUAAAAUAAUAAUAAUAAUAAAAUAAAAAAUUAGCAGGGCAUGGUGGCAUGUGCCUGUAGUCCCAGCUACCCAGGAGGCUGAGGCAAGAGGAUGGCUGGAGCCUGGGAUGUUGAGGCUGCAAUGAACUGUGAUUACCCCACUGCACUCCAGCCUGGGCAAAAGAGCGAGAGACCCUGUCUCAAAUAAUAAUAAUAAUAAUAAUCUUAUUUUGGAGAAUAAAGAGACCUCUGGAUUUGAGGUGCCAUUUGGGUAGAAAGAAAAGACGUUUACACCGAGAAAUAGUCUGUGUUGCCCUGAAGGAGCAGAGGGAUGCAUCGCUGGAGGUGACCUACAGUUGAAGAAGACUCAUUAUGACAGACCUUGUCCUUCUUCCUUGUGGAAAGUGUUUCCUCUGCUGCUACUGCUCAUGAGACUCUUCCCCCUCCCUGUCCCAGGGAACCAAAGGGCUUUCUACCACACCCUUUCUUGCCCCCCGCCUCCCAUGUCUGCUGUGCCUUUGUACUCAGCAAUUCUUGUUUGCUCCAUUAUCUUCCAGCCGGAUACAGAGUGAAUAGUUAACCACACUUAGGUCAAAUAGGAUCUAAAUUUUUGUUCCUGCUCCGUGUAAAGAGGCCAGUGUUUGUGUGUUGCAAGCAGCCUUGGAAUAGUAACUCUUCUCAUUUGUUUGGGAUCUGGCCACCAAGUUCCAGAAUGAUACACGGAUCAGUGCAGAAGUUCAUCAGGCUCUCGGACCUUAGGGCUGUUGGAGAAGGCUUCAGCAGCAGAACUGAUGGUGAAGGCUCGUGUUCUCCAUCCUCAACUUUCUUUGCUUCGAUCAUACACAAGAAUACAUUUGGAAGGGCAAAAAAUGAACACUGUCGUUCAUUGCAGCCGUGUUUUGUGACACAGAUGCACAGUCUGCUGUGAAGACCUUCUCUCAAGUGGCAUUUGGGAGUCCAUGCCAGAUCAUGGUGCUUCAUGAGAGACUGACAGCUAUCAGGGGUUGUGGCACUUAGUGAGGACUCUCCUCCCCCAGUGUGUGCUGAUGACACAUACACACCUGACAAUAGCUUGAGUCUUCUCUGUUCCUUUUACUCUGUAGCCAACAUACACAUGAUUUAAAACCCUUUCUAAAUAUCUAUCAUGGUUCAUCCUUGUCCAAAUGCAGAGUCAGAGCUAUUUGUACUUCAUUAUUAUUUCCAAGGCGAAUAGUUGGCUUUCUUUUUGCAAAAAUAAUUAAAGUUUUUGUAUGUUGCAGUUGC